UGCUGAAACUCUGUUCAACCCACAACUAUAGGAAAGAUGGGUUGAAAAGAGUUUCGGUAGU
ensembl:miRNA